CUGUCGGGUAGGACUCUAGCUCACAACGCCCUUGCCUCGAUCCUGGUCGGCGGAAGAUGCAGCAGCCGGCACCUGUGGCUCUGCAAAACAUAAGUAACAACUGGGCGUGAGAACUACUGUAAAAACAAGUAGUCCUCAGUGGGUACCGCCCAACACGACAUCGGUCACCCACUAAGUCUACAGAAGGGAGCAAGGAUAGAAGGAAAGCAGGAAGCACACUCUACCGCUAUCAUCCACUACACUAUCAUGCUCUACACUAACCAACUGUAGGAAAUGUCAAAUCUGACCCAAUCCAAAUCGGGACUGUAAGCAUACCCGUCCCCGGGACUGUGAAUACACC
rnacentral:lncRNA from 1 species